GUGCUCACUUUGUCACCAUGUAAACUAAAACUGGAACAAUCCAGAGAAGAUUAGCGUGGCCCCUGUGCAAGGAUGACACACAAAUUUGUGAAGUGUUCCGUAUUUUG